UCUAAAAUGACAGAAAGAUGUAUAGGAUUUAAACUCCUACAAGGAAGGCCUUCUUCUUUUAGAA
rnacentral:tRNA from 1 species